rnacentral:rRNA from 1 species
UACGGAGGGUGCAAGCGUUAUCCGGAUUUACUGGGUUUAAAGGGUGCGUAGGUGGGUCUGUAAGUCAGUGGUGAAAUCUUCGAGCUUAACUCGGAAACUGCCAUUGAUACUAUAGAUCUUGAAUUUUCUGGAGGUAAGCGGAAUAUGUCAUGUAGCGGUGAAAUGCUUAGAUAUGACAUAGAACACCAAUUGCGAAGGCAGCUUACUACGGGAACAUUGACACUGAGGCACGAAAGCGUGGGGAUCAAACAGG